CCUACGGGAGGCAGCAGUAGGGAAUCUUCCGCAAUGGGCGAAAGCCUGACGGAGCAACGCCGCGUGAGUGAUGAAGGUCUUCGGAUCGUAAAACUCUGUUAUCAGGGAAGAACAAACGUGUAAGUAACUGUGCACGUCUUGACGGUACCUGAUCAGAAAGCCACGGCUAACUACGUGCCAGCAGCCGCGGUAAUACGUAGGUGGCAAGCGUUAUCCGGAAUUAUUGGGCGUAAAGCGCGCGUAGGCGGUUUUUUAAGUCUGAUGUGAAAGCCCACGGCUCAACCGUGGAGGGUCAUUGGAAACUGGAAAACUUGAGUGCAGAAGAGGAAAGUGGAAUUCCAUGUGUAGCGGUGAAAUGCGCAGAGAUAUGGAGGAACACCAGUGGCGAAGGCGACUUUCUGGUCUGUAACUGACGCUGAUGUGCGAAAGCGUGGGGAUCAAACAGGAUUAGAUACCCUGGUAGUCCACGCCGUAAACGAUGAGUGCUAAGUGUUAGGGGGUUUCCGCCCCUUAGUGCUGCAGCUAACGCAUUAAGCACUCCGCCUGGGGAGUACGACCGCAAGGUUGAAACUCAAAGGAAUUGACGGCGUGAGACGNGCGAGACGACACGAGGGAGGAGG
rnacentral:rRNA from 1 species